rnacentral:tRNA from 1 species
GAUAGGUGGCUCAAUCAGGCAGAGCGAGUGGUUUGUAACCACUAGGUUGUGGGUUCAAUUCCCAUCCUGUC